rnacentral:lncRNA from 1 species
UCGACAUACUCUUAGAUCGAUUAUUCGCUAUGAAGGCCUACGCCAUCUUGGCUCUCCUCCUCCUGGGGCAUUUGUGCCACAUUCAAGCAGCCACGCUGAACAAGCCAGCAACGAGCACGGACGAAACCACGAAGCUGCUCUCCGAGAAACUUUUCCAUUCCAUCAUUGAACACCGUGAUGAACUCCUUGAGGCUCUCAAGGGCAUCGACAGCACAGGCGACGGAACCGAUGAUCAGUUCCGGCCAUACGUACUUGCGACAAUUAUUUCAGCCAUUGCUGGAGGCGCCAUAUCGGCAGCUGUUGGAGCCGGUGUGCAGAAAGCAAUUAACAAAGACUGAACGUAUCGACCGUGAC